GUGGGGGUGACGAUAUUUUUUUUAACCUUGAGGAUCUUCUAUGAUGUUUCAAGUAUUCAUACUGUCUGACCCAA
ensembl:snoRNA